AGCAAUCAUCUGUGAAAUCAUCCGAAUCAAAAGGCUUUUCCACUUCAUCGAUUAUCUCAUUUUCCCUGUCUGUGCAGCAUGUUCUGCUAGCGAUACAGAACAGAAGCAGGACCACCACUUGUCCCUCUGGUUGACCUCUCCUCCUUAAUAAUUAUUUCUUAGAAGUUUAAAUAUUCAAGGAAACAAUAAUGAAAGAAAAACAAAAAGAUAGAGGAGAAGAGCAAGGUGGGAAACACUACCGACAGCCACUACACAUUUUUAAUUUGACUGAGGGAUAAUCCCUGCUCUGUGAUUAAUCUGCAAAUUGUAGCACUGAAGAACUUGUUUAAUCUAGCACUUUCUGUGACAUGUGAACUGCUUUUAUUCCAGUCAAAACCCACAUUUUAAAGGGACAUGAAACAAAUGUAUUCUUUCAUGAUUCAGAUAAAAGAAUUACAAAAGUUUCCAAUUUACUUCUGUUAUCAAAUCUGCUUCCUUCUCUUGUUAUUCUUUGUUGAAGAGAUAUCUAGAUAAGUUGCAUGCACUUGUCUGGAAUACUGCAUGACAGGAAACAGUGCUGCCAUCUGUUGCUCUUGCUAAUGUAUAACAUUGUUGCAAAACUGCUGCCAUAUAGUGCUGCAGACAUGUGCACGCUCCUAAAUUUACCUUCCUGCUUUUCAAUAAAGGAUAACAAGAAAACAAAGAAAAUGUGAUAAUAGAAGUAAAUAAGAAAAUUGUUUAAAAUUGAAAGAACAUUUUGGGGUUGUAUAUCCCUUUAAGCUGCCAUAUUAGUGACUUAUUAUUGAUAGACAUGAUAAUGGUGACAUGAAAGAAAAAUGACAUAGAUGUACUACAUGACGUAAUAAUAGAGGACCUUGCGAGGUAAAAAUUGAAAUGUGCAUGGGUGCAUUUUAUUUUUGAAUGGAAAUAAUGUUGCUAUAUACUUCUAUUAGCAAAAAUGCUUCAAGUAAAGGGUAUUACUGUUUUUUCAGUGUGAAUCGUUAAGUCCAAACGCUCUACGUGCUGUAAUUGUCUAUGUUAAAAUGAACACAGGUUCUGUUGUAAAUAAAGUUUUUCUUAUAUACAAACAAAACAAUACAAUCCCAAUAUACACAAAAAAAGGCGCUUGGAUACAGUCACCCCUUAAAAUAUUAUCGAUAACAAUAAAAGGAGAUGCCCCUGCUUUUUCAAAAUAUAUACAAUCAGUUUUUAUAAACAUUUAUAAUCUGUUUUUAAACUUUGGGUGUGGAAUUGUAAUUUUGCUGUGAUUUAAUAAAUAAAGGAAAUAAGUUUUAUGAUAA